AGAGUUUGAUUAUGGCUCAGGAUGAACGCUAGCGACAGGCUUAACACAUGCAAGUCGAGGGGCAGCAUAAAAGUAGCAAUACUUGGUGGCGACCGGCGCACGGGUGAGUAACGCGUAUGCAACCUACCUAUCAGAGGGGAAUAACCCGGCGAAAGUCGGACUAAUACCGCAUAAACAGGGGCACCGCAUGGUGAUAUUUGUUAAAGAGAUUCGCUGAUAGAUGGGCAUGCGUUCCAUUAGGUAGUUGGUGAGGUAACGGCUCACCAAGCCGACGAUGGAUAGGGGAACUGAGAGGUUGGUCCCCCACACUGGUACUGAGACACGGACCAGACUCCUACGGGAGGCAGCAGUGAGGAAUAUUGGUCAAUGGGCGGGAGCCUGAACCAGCCAAGUCGCGUGAAGGAAGAAGGAUCUAUGGUUCGUAAACUUCUUUUGCAGGGGAAUAAAGUGCAGGACGUGUCCUGUUUUGUAUGUACCCUGAGAAUAAGGAUCGGCUAACUCCGUGCCAGCCGCAGC
rnacentral:rRNA from 1 species